rnacentral:rRNA from 1 species
CCUACGGGAGGCUGCAGUAGGGAAUUUUCGUCAAUGGGCGCAAGCCUGAACGAGCAAUGCCGCGUGAACGAGGAAGGUCUUCGGAUCGUAAAGUUCUGUUGAAGGGGAAAAAGAGCGGAGAGAGGAAAUGGUCUCCGAUUGAUAUUACCCUUCGAGGAAGUCACGGCUAACUACGUGCCAGCAGCCGCGGUAAUACGUAGGUGGCGAGCGUUAUCCGGAAUGAUUGGGCGUAAAGGGUGCGUAGGCGGCCUGCUAAGUCUGGAGUGAAAGGUACCGGCUCAACCGGUACAGGCUCUGGAAACUGGCGGGCUAGAGAGCAGGAGAGGGCGGUGGAAUUCCAGGUGUAGGAGUGAAAGCCGUAGAUAUCUGGAGGAACAUCAGUGGCGAAGGCGACUAUCUGGCACAUAACUGACGCUGAGGAGCGAAAGCGUGGGUAGCAAACAGGAUUAGAUACCCGGGUAGUC